GACGAACGCUGGCGGCGUGCCUAACACAUGCAAGUCGAGCGGAGAUUGCAGUAAUGUAAUCUUAGCGGCGGACGGGUGAGUAACGCGUGGGCAACCUACCUUGAUCUGGGGGAUAACACGGGGAAACUUGUGCUAAUACCGCAUAAAGUCAUAAGAAGACAUCUUCUAAAGAUCAAAGAAGUAAUCCGGAUAGAGAGGGGCCAGCGUCCGAUUAGCUAGUUGGUGGUGUAUCGGACCACCAAGGCGACGAUCGGGAGCCGAACUGAGAGGUUGGUCGGCCACACUGGAACUGAGACACGGUCCAGACUCCUACGGGAGGCAGCAGUGGGGAAUUUUGCGCAAUGGGCGAAAGCCUGACGCAGCAACGCCGCGUGGGUGAUGAAGGUCUUCGGAUCGUAAAACCCUGUCGUCAGGGAUGAAGGUUGCGAGUUUAAGAGAUGCGCAACUUGACGGUACCUGGAGAGGAAGCCCCGGCUAACUCUGUGCCAGCCGCCGCAGUAACAC
rnacentral:rRNA from 1 species